rnacentral:rRNA from 1 species
UGGCUCAGAUUGAACGCUGGCGGCAGGCCUAACACAUGCAAGUCGAGCGGCAGCGACUUAACUGAACCUUCGGGGAACGUUAAGGGCGGCGAGCGGCGGACGGGUGAGUAAUCCCUGGGAAUAUGCCCUGAUGUGGGGGAUAACUAUUGGAAACGAUAGCUAAUACCGCAUAAUCUCUUCGGAGCAAAGAGGGGGACCUUCGGGCCUCUCGCGUCAGGAUUAGCCCAGGUGGGAUUAGCUUGUUGGUGAGGUAAUGGCUCACCAAGGCAACGAUCCCUAGCUGGUCUGAGAGGAUGAUCAGCCACACUGGAACUGAGACACGGUCCAGACUCCUACGGGAGGCAGCAGUGGGGAAUAUUGCACAAUGGGGGAAACCCUGAUGCAGCCAUGCCGCGUGUGUGAAGAAGGCCUUCGGGUUGUGAAGCACUUUCAGUAGGGAGGAAGGUAGUGUAGUUAACACCUGCAUUAUUGACGUACCUACAG